UUACUUCUGUUUUAUACAAUGUCCAGGGUUUUAGCUAUGCUUUGUAGAAAGAAUAGGUAAAAGUACAUCUAUUCCAUAUUACUGGAGAUGGAAAUCCCCAAUAAUACUUUAUAGAUAGUACUUUAAAACAAUAUCGAGGUGGUGACCAACCAAAUUGAAUUUUAUAGGAUAGUAUUUGUUUUGGUCAUCUUUAUACCACUGAUAAAUAACCAGGGCAAUAACUGAAUAGUGAAAUGCAGACAUUUGCAACAAGGAUCUUUGAGUUUGAAUCUUUGAUCUGUAUCUUAAAAGAUGUAUGGCAUUCAUAAAAUUAUUUUACAUUUCUAGAACUAAUUUUUCACACUUACAAAAUAAAAAUAAUAACAGCUGCCUAAUUUGGUUGUUGUUCAGUGAAACAUAUAUUCAGUAUAACAAUAUAAAUGAACAGUGCCUGGUAAAAUGAAUGGCAUGUGUGUUCCUCUUUUAAGGCAUCCUUAUAGAAAAUGAUAAAUUACUCCUUCCCAAAGUAUUAAUUGGUACUUUGCUGCCCUGAAAUGGUGAUGAGAAACAAAGUUGCUUCCAAAGGUAUUUUCUUCUCCCCGAUGCAUCACAGGAUCGGGUUACAGAAAGCAUCUGAAUUGUUUAACAACCAGGGGUUGCCACAGAUGAGCACACUGUAAGAUCUGAAAACACAUUUGAAAGUAUCUUAUAUUUUGGCCCAUGACUCAUUCCUUGACAUUAAUUCCUCUCUAUAAGGGAUUAAUGUACUCAAGAAUCAAUAUGCUUUCAGACAGAUCCUACAUCAGUGAGUUUCUUUGCUGGUCAGUAUUUUCAUUAUUAACAACUUAUGUCAGCAAUAUUCCCUAUUCGUCUAGUGGUAUUUGAAUUUAUUCUCUCAUUUUAGUCCUGAUUGUUGAGCAUUACUCUAAAGGUCUUUUAUAACUUGAUUUACCAAGAAAGCAGAUUAGAAAUCUAUAUGAAGACUCAGAGGCCUGCAAAAAGGAGCAAUUAGGAAAAGUGUACUAUUCAGCUCUACUUUUGAAAUACAUAGGGUGAAUAUUUUAAGGUACUUUGUACUUCUUGAGGUUAGCAUUUAAGAAACUAUAUCCCACAAUAUCCCCAAGUUAUUCUGUCCCCAUCUGGUUUUUAGUCCUCUUUCAUCGCAAUAGACUUUUGAUAUCAUUUUUUUCACUUGGAUCCCAUGUUUCAACAAAUUUGAUCUUAUUAUAAUAUGUAUUUAUCUAAUCAGUAUCUAAAUAUAUUUGCACUAAUCCUGUUUUGAAUGUUUUGACAUUGUUCUUAUAUAAUACUUAAGAAUGUACAUUCUUGGGACUUCCCAUUGUGGCUUGGAGGGUUACAAAUCCGACCAGUAUCUGUGAGGUUGCAGGCUUGAUCCCUGGCCUUCCUCAGUGGGUUAAGGAUUCAGCGCUGCAGUGAGUUGUAGUGUAGGUUGCAGACAUGGCUUGGAUCUGGUGUUGCUGUGGCUGUGGGUAGGCUGGCAGCUGCAGCUCCGAUUCAACCCCUGGCCUGGGAACUUCCAUUUGCUGCAGGUGCAGCCCUAAAAAACAAACAAACAAACAAAAGAAUGUAUAUGCUAGCCCAGAUUAUGGAGGUAUGGGUUUCUAAAUGCCAUUACCCACUAAAAGAAAACGAUUCCUUGGAGAAGUUACUGAUUCUUUGGCUAGGACAGGGAAACUAUGAAAUGUGUCUAAAAAGUAUUUUUGUUCCAGAAGAAGGUUUAAAAGAGCUCAACAGAAGUUCCCAUCGUGGCUCAGUGGAAACAAAUCUGACUAGCAUCCAUGAGGACGCAGGUUUGAUCCCUGGCCUCGCUCAGUGGGUCAAAGAUCCAGUGUUGCCAUGAACUGUGGUGCAGGUUGCAGAUGCAGCUUGGAUCUGGCAUUGCUAUGGCUGUGGCAUAGACCGAGGGCUCGAGCUCUGAUUCGACCCUAGCGUGGGAACCUCCAUAUAGGCUCCAUAUAGGCUCCAUAAGGCUGCGGGUACAGCCUUAAAAAGACCAAAAAAAAAAAAAAAAAAGAACUCAAUAAAUUAGCAGCUUAUAUAAAAACAACAAACAAGUCAGCAUGAAAGUUUUACCACAGGCCAAAUCUAGAAUAACUAGAGCAUGAAAAUGAAUAAUGAAAAUAAUGAAUUAUAAUCUACUAAUUUUAAGGAAAUCCAUGAGUCUAUACUGAGAGUAUGGUACAUACACAUGCAUAAUGCAUGCAUGUGUGUGUGUGUGUGUGUGUGUGUGUGUGUGUGUGAAAUGAGGAAAUGAGGAAACUCUUUGUUAUAGUACACUACUAGCUAAUAAAUAUGAAAUAAAUGACAGGUGUUAUGGGCUAAACUGUUCCCCUCCCAAAUUCAUAUGUGUGUGUUUUGUUUUGUUUUGUUUUGUUUUUGGCUGUGCCCAUGGCAUGCAGAAGUUUCCAGGCCAGAGAUCAAACGUGAGCCAGAGAAGCAACCAGAGCCAUAGCAGUAACAUCAGAUCUUUGAAAUAUUAAGCUACCAGGGAAUUCCCAAAUUCAUAUGCUAUAUCCCAAAACCCCAAAAUCCCAGAAUGUCGUUGUAUUUUGAGAUAGGGCCUUUAAAGAAGUAGAGUUUCAUAGGGACCCUUAGGUUGGGCCUUAAUUGAAUAUGACUGGUAACCUUAUAAGAUGAGGAGAUUGGGACAUAGCUAAUGCAGACAGAGGAGCGAUUAUGUGAGGUAUGGUGAGAAGGUGGCCACCUGCAAGCCAAGGAUUGAGGUUUCAGGAAAAAACAAACCUGCCUCCAGGACUGUGAGAAAAUAGAUUUACCAUGUUUAAGCCACCAAGCCUAUGGAAUUUUGUUUUGGCAGUCCUAGGGAACAAAUACAAUAGAUAUUUUAAAAUUAUUAUUGUACAAUAAUAACUCAUUCAGACAAAAAUUAUCAGUGGACCCAGUGGAUUAAAGUUGAUGGUAAAUAAUAUAUCCACAUGGCAUCAUUGUAUGUCCUGCAUCUUACUUAUUGUUCCAAAGGAAAAAAACCACAACUUUACAGUAGAGAAAGCUGGCAGACACUUCAACCAAAUGAUCAAUGUCAACAUCAGCAAUAAUAAGACAAACUGAGUCCAGGUGCCUCCUGCUGUGAUUCACUGAGAAGACAUAGUAGUUAGGUGCUCAAUACUCUUAACAAAACCAUCUAACUUGAACUGAAUCACCAGGAAACAAUCAGAUAAACACAAAUGGGAACUACUAUCCUGUUUCUCUGAAAUGACAGUGUCAUAAGAGAAAUAGAAAGUCUGAAAUAUUCCUGCAUAUUAAAGGAUUAGUCUAGAGUCUAUAAAAAUGUUUUAUGCAUAAUUGGCAAAAGAGGAAUUUGGACUAUACAUUAUAAUAAGGUAUAUAAAGUUAUAUAGUGAUCAUCUAAGAUGUCUUUCUUAGGAGAUACCUACUGAAAUAUUUGGGGGUAAGGGAGCAUAAUAUGUAAAUUGCUUUCAAAUGGCUUAACAACAAAUAUACAUAUAUAUAUUAUACACAUAAAGUAAUAAAUAAAUACUACUGGUAUAUGUGUUAGUGUGGCAAAAUUUUAAUAACUAGAGAAUCUAGGUGAAAGAUAUUUGUGAGUUUACUGCAUUAUCCUUACAACUUUUCUGUAUGUUUUACUAUUUUUUUUCCCAAAUUCCAAUUUUAAAAUGUAUGUUCUGGUUAGAGAUACCUUGAGUCUACUUGUUGGUUAUUUAAAUUAUAUAAACCUCAUAUUUCUAAUAUGUAAAAUAAAGUAAUAUAGUACUAUUUUUGCUGUAUUGUGAGGAUUAGAGACACUACUAAUAAAUCUCUCAGUGUGAUAUCUGGAAUUGAGUAAUCUCUCAAAAAUAUUAGUUGUUAUUAAUGCCAUCUUGGUCUAUUUUAAUAGUAACCCAUUGAUUUCAAGUACUUAAAAUAAAAAUUGAAGUUUUUUAAAAUUUUAUAGUAACCAUCACACAUGCAUGCAUCAAAGUAUGGUUUACCGUUACUAGCUGAUCAGCUUGUUAUUACCCAGGACAGGUCAGGUGGUAUACAAAGUAUAUCAAGAUAGCUCUUUAAUUCCUUAAUCUGAGUCCCCAAUCAGUAUCUGGGUUUCCCAAUGAAAUACUAGAGAUUUAUAGUCUCAACAAAUAAAUGGCAGACAGCAGAGUUUCAAAUAACCCUUUUCUCAAGGAGCUGACAUCAUAUCAAACUAGAGAAAAAGGAAUAGAAACUCGAUACUUUGAUUAGUUAAUUUUUAGUUUAUUACAGAUUAUUCCAUGAUUUGCUGUGAAUUCUCUCAAUAUCCUAAUUACAGCCUUCACAGAAUCCAGAAUUAGUGUCCUAAGCACAAAUGAGAUACUCUGGACUGUAUUAAUGAAACAAGAAUAGCAAUUUACCAAAUAGUACAAAUAACAAGGAAAAAUUCUUGCACUUUAUACCAGUGAUGAAACUGAAUGCAUUUCCUCUUUCCAUUGGUGAUGAAGAAAAUACUUUUUCAGGAGACACUAUGCACAUUUCUAAGUAGUGAAAGAGUAGGACUCUGGGCAAAAAUCACUUUGUUUAGACAGGCAUGAAGUUAGAGCACAGAUUGACAUCUCUGGUUUUGUCCCUUAACUGGAAGAACUUAUAAUUUAAUGGAAAGGUAGACCAUAUUAAUAACCAUAAAUAAUAGCAGCAUUUUGAGCUAGUUUGAGGAAAGUAACUGUGAAAUUAGUCUAUACUAUAUAAGUGACUAUCUCUAAACCAUUUCCAAGAAGAUCAUGUCCUUUUUUUCCACUCAAAGUUAAAUUUCUGGCAUUAAAGACAUAUCAUAGUCUUCUUAUUAUCUUUUGUGGCAUUUAGUAGGGUGACUUACACUUAAGAGGCACUCAGUAAAUACAAUUUAAAUGAGCAAAAAACACAUAAUUUUGGAAAAUGUAACAAAGUAAGGUGAGACAUUUAUAGAAAUUUGAGAAAAGUUGUGCAGUGACAGAGGUUGACUGGGAAGACAAGUUCUGCCAAGGAGCCUGACCAAGUUCUGCUCCUCUAACUUUGAUUUCACUUAAUCUUUUUACUAUUUUCUCCAUUCAUGAAUGUGAAUCCAUCAUCUCAACAAAACGUACAAUAUGUACCUUGUCCCAUGCAUUUCUGAUUUAGGGAGAUCUGUUUUUACUCUCCAAUGAUAAUCCCACCAAGUGCAGUUCACAAAAAAAGACCUGCAUGACAAAACCAAUGGAAAAAUUGUACU
rnacentral:lncRNA from 1 species